rnacentral:rRNA from 1 species
UACAGAGGUGGCAAGCGUUGUUCGGAAUUACUGGGCGUAAAGGGCGCGUAGGCGGGUUCGCAAGUCUGUGGUGAAAGCCCCCAGCUUAACUGGGGAAGUGCCGUGGAUACUGCGAAUCUUGAGGAGGGUAGGGGCGUCUGGAACGGUCGGUGGAGCGGUGAAAUGCGUUGAUAUCGUAAGGAAGACCAGUGGCGAAGGCGGGUCUCUGGACAGUUCCUGACGCUGAGGCACGAAGGCCAGGGGAGCAAACGGG